rnacentral:rRNA from 1 species
UAGGGAAUCUUCCACAAUGGACGCAAGUCUGAUGGAGCAACGCCGCGUGAGUGAAGAAGGGUUUCGGCUCGUAAAGCUCUGUUGGUAGUGAAGAAAGAUAGAGGUAGUAACUGGCCUUUAUUUGACGGUAAUUACUUAGAAAGUCACGGCUAACUACGUGCCAGCAGCCGCGGUAAUACGUAGGUGGCAAGCGUUGUCCGGAUUUAUUGGGCGUAAAGCGAGUGCAGGCGGUUCAAUAGGUCUGAUGUGAAAGCCUUCGGCUCAACCGGAGAAUUGCAUCAGAAACUGUUGAACUUGAGUGCAGAAGAGGAGAGUGGAACUCCAUGUGUAGCGGUGGAAUGCGUAGAUAUAUGGAAGAACACCAGUGGCGAAGGCGGCUCUCUGGUCUGCAACUGACGCUGAGGCUCGAAAGCAUGGGUAGCGAACAGGAUUAGAUACCCUGGUAGUCCAUGCCGUAAACGAUGAGUGCUAAGUGUUGGGAGGUUUCCGCCUCUCAGUGCUGCAGCUAACGCAUUAAGCACUCCGCCUGGGGAGUACGACCGCAAGGUUG